rnacentral:rRNA from 1 species
AGAGUUUGAUCCUGGCUCAGAACGAACGCUGGCGGCGUGGAUAAGACAUGCAAGUCGGACGGGAUUACUUUUGGUAGCAAUACCGAAAGUGAUUCAGUGGCGAACGGGUGCGUAACACGUGGGCAAUCUACCGAGAAGUGGGGGAUAGCUCGCCGAAAGGCGAAUUAAUACCGCAUGUGAUCAGAGGCGACAUCGCUUCGAAAUCAAAGGUGGCGCAAGCUACCGCUUUUUGAGGAGCCCGCGGCCUAUCAGCUUGUUGGUGAGGUAACGGCUCACCAAGGCAUUGACGGGUAGCUGGUCUGAGAGGACGACCAGUCACACUGGGACUGAGACACGGCCCAGACACCUACGGGUGGCAGCAGUCGAGAAUUUUUCUCAAUGGGGGAAACCCUGAAGGAGCGACGCCGCGUGGAGGAUGAAGGUCUUCGGGUUGUAAACUCCUGUCAUUUGGGAACAAGGUGUGCGCGUUAACUGCGCGCGCAUUGAUAGUACCAGAAGAGGAAGAGACGGCUAACUCUGUGCCAGCAGCCGCGGUAAUACAGAGGUCUCAAGCGUUGUUCGGAUUCAUUGGGCGUAAAGGGUGCGUAGGCGGCGCGGUAAGUCGGGUGUGAAAUUUCGAGGCUUAACUUCGAAACUGCAUUCGAUACUGCCGUGCUUGAGGACUGGAGAGGAGACUGGAAUUUACGGUGUAGCGGUGAAAUGCGUAGAUAUCGUAGGAAGACCCAGUGCGAAGGCGGGUCUCUGGACAGUUCCUGACGCUGAGGCACGAAGGCCCAGGGAGCAAACGGGAUUAGAUACCCCCGUAGUCC